GGGUCGUUAGCUCAGUUGGUAGAGCAGUUGACUUUUAAUCAAUUGGUC
rnacentral:tRNA from 20 species